UACGUAGGGGGCAAGCGUUGUCCGGAUUUAUUGGGCGUAAAGAGCGUGUAGGCGGUUUGGUAGGUCCGCUGUGAAAACUCGAGGCUCAACCUCGAGACGCCGGUGGAAACCAUCAGGCUAGAGUCCGGAAGAGGAGAGUGGAAUUCCUGGUGUAGCGGUGAAAUGCGCAGAUAUCAGGGAGAACACCCGUGGCUAAGGCGGCUCUCUAGUACGGUACUGACGCUGAGACGCGAAAGCGUGGGGAGCGAACAGG
rnacentral:rRNA from 1 species